rnacentral:lncRNA from 1 species
GCCAGUCAAAUACUGUAAACAAUAUAUACCGCUUGGGUCUCCCAAGCCUAAUCAUCUCACCAUCCAAACUCUCCACUCGAGCCUCAAUAAAUGGUCAAUGCAUCCAGCUGUCAAUGGAAGCCCAGAUGUAACGUGCAAGUUAGGGCAGAUCAUAGGGCGGGCAUCCCCGCUCGCUCACGACCCUUCGCGUCGGCACGUUUCCCAAUUC